CUGAAGGAUUCUAAGGGUAUAAUAUUAAAUGACGCAGGAAGCAUCAAAAGAAGAUGAAAGUAAUACCCACAGUCACUAUACCAAAAAGGAUUGGUCGACCUUCAACCAUUUCAGGAAGUAGCAUAUGAUCAGAAACCGAUGAUACUGAAGGAAGAAGUUCAUGCUGCCCUGAAGGAAUUGGUGAGAAAAAAAAGCCUCCGAGAAUUGACGGAAUACCAACUGAGAUGUUUCACCAAAUGGAUGCAGCACUGGAAUCGCUCACUUGUCUAAUCCCAAGAAAUAUGGCCUACGAACUGGCAAGGAUCCAUAUUUACGCCUAUUCCUAAGAAAGGUGAUCCAACCAAAUGUGGAAAUUAUCAAACAAUAUCAUUAAUAUCACAUGCAAGUAAUAUUCUGCUAAAAAUCAUUCAAAAGCAGCUGUAGCAGUACAUUGACAGGGAACUGCCAGAAAUUUAAGCAGGAUUCAGAAGAGGACAUGGAAGAAGGGAUAUCACAGCUGAUGUCAUAUCUAUUCUGGCUGAAAGCAGAGAAUACCAGAAAGAUGUUUACCUGUGUAUUAUUGACUAUGCAAAGGCAUUUGACUGCUUGGGUCAUAACAAAUUAUGGAUAACAUUGCGAAGAGUGGGAAUCCCAGAACACUCAAUUCUGCUGAUGAGGAACCUGAUCAAGAGGUAGACGUUCAAACAGAAAAAGGUGAUACUGCGUGGUUUAAAGUCAGGAAAGGUGUGUGUCAGGGUUGUAUCCUUUCACAAUACUUAUUUAAUCUGCAAAUAAUCUGAGAAGCUGGACUAUACGAAGAACACAUCAGGAUUGGAGGAAGACUCAUUAACAACCUGCAUUUUGCAGAUGACUCAACCCCGCUUGCUAAAAGAUAAGAGGUCUUGAAGCACUUACUGAUGAAGAUCAAAGACCGCGGCCUUCAGUAGAGAUUGCACCUCAACAUGAAGAAAACAAAAAUCCUCACAACUGGGCCAAUGAGCAACAUCGUGAUCAACGGAGAAAAGAUUGAAGUUGUCAAGGAUUUCAUUUUAUUUGGAUCCACAAUCAACACCCAUGGACACAGCAGUUAAGAAAUCAAAAGAUGCAUUGCAUUAGGGAAACUGGCUGCAAAAGACCUCUAAAGUGUUGAAAAGCAAAGACAUCACCUUGAAAACUAAGAUGCAACUGAUCCAAGCCACAGUGUUUUCAGUGGCCUCGUAUGUGUGGGAAAGCUGGCUGAUGAAUAAGGAAGACUGUAGAAGAACUGAUGCCUUUUAAUUGUCGUGUUGGUGAAGAAUUCUGAAUACACCAUGAAUUGCCAAAAGAAUGAAAAAAUCUAUCUUGAAAGAAGUAUAACUAGAACGUACACUAGCCUAGAAGCAAAGAAGGCUAGACUACAUCCUACAUACUUUGGACCUGUUUUCAGGAGGAAUUAGUCCAUGGAGAAGGAUAUCAUGUACUAUUUCUUUGGACUAUCUAAGACCUCAAGAACAAAAUCUCAUGGUCCAAAUUAACGUUUUUACUUACUAAUUUUCAAAUGUAGCCCUGGUGGAAGAGUGGUUAAGAGCUUGGCUGAAACUAAAAGGUUUCAACCAGCCUCUCCUUAGAAGCCCUGCUGUGCAGUUCUAUUCUGUCCAAUAGGGUCACUGUUAGUUAAAAUUUAAUCCACAGCAAUGAGUUAUUUAAUUUUCAAAUACAAAUUUGUUGUGUUAAUGUCUAAAUUCUAAAUUAAAUUUUAUUUUAUAAACUACCUGUUUUAUAAAUUUACUUUCUAUUAUUCAAAUUUAUUGUAAUGGUAGAAUCAAAUUUAAAAAGUGACAUAAUUUUAUAUCCAGGCAAAAUGAAAUGGCAAUAACUAAGUGGAGUGCAAAAAUGGAAGCCUGCAGGAGAUAAAAAGAAAAUGAUUUGUGAAUCCCUAAAGACAAUCCCCAAAUUCCUUUUUAGAAUGUAAUAAAUCAGAAGAGACUUCUUCCAUUAAAGAAGCAUUAGAAGAAACAAGUAAAUGACAGAAAUGCUCCAGAAGUAUUGAGUGCCAGGAAUCAAUUUUACAUAACCACCAUCACUGACACACUUGAAUCUUGCAUGAAAUGAAGGGUAAGGAUGUAUGAAGUUCCUUCUGAUAUUUUUUUCCUUCUUAAUGUGAAUAUAACUGAUGAAGAAUUCCUGAAGGUAUCCAAUAAAUUAGCACAGGCUUAUCCUGAUGAGGAAACCCUGGUGGCAUAGUGGGUAAGUGCUACGACUGCUAACCGAGAGAACGGUAGUUCAAAUCCACCAGGCGCUCCUUGGAAACUCUAUUGGGCAGUUCUACUCUGUCCUAUAGGGUCAGGAUGAGUCAGAAUCGACUCGACGGCAGUGGGUUUGGAUUUAUCCUGAUGACUUAAGACAAACCUUUACGGAGAAGUGCUACAAUAUCAUUCUUACGUUAGAAUUAAGUUCAGAGAUUCAAGUCAAAUUUUACUCAUGUAGGCAUGUAAAUCAAAAAACCAAACCCAUUGCUGGUGAAUUGAUUUCAACACACAGCAACGCUAUAGGACAGAGUAGAAUUGCCCCCAUAGGGUUUCCAUGGAGCAGCUAAUGUAUUCGAACUGCCAAGCUUUUGGUUAGCAGCUGAGUUCUUAACCACUGCACCCCCAGUGCUCCAAAUAUACUCUGGCCCAGUAGUUCAAAUGCAACAGCCGCUCCUUGAAAACCCUAUGAGGCAGUUCUACUCUGACCUAUAGGGUCAUUAUGCAUCAGAAUUGACUCCAACCCAACGGGUUUGUUCUGCCUACUGCCUCAUCCCUAUUUCAUUUUCUCAGAGAUAAGUUUCUCUGAUAGUGUCAGAUUCAGGAAUGUGAUGAAAAAUGUCUCUUGUAGGGGGUGGGGCCAAGAUGGCAGAGUAGUCAGAUGCUUUAUGUAGCCCCUCUUAUAACAAAGACCCAGAGAAGUAAGUCGAUUAUAUAUGACAAUCUAGGAGCCCUGAACAUCAAAGGUGAAGUUACAGAAUUGGACUUAGUGGCGGGGGAGGGGAAUAUGGUUCAGAAGCAGUGAGAGUUUGACAGACCGGACCCGGCAGAAACCAGCACCCUGCAGGCUGGAUCGGAUGGCAUGUGCGGUGACGCAAGCAGUGACGCUUGGGACAUGUUUUCCACAUCUGAAGAGACCGAGUGGUGGAAAGCCUACACAAGCCUCCAUAAGCAGUGAAAAGCAGUGCUAAGUUGGCAAAAGAUAAGUACAUGCAUUUAAAAUGCCACACAAAUCAAAAAUCAUCCCCUUUGGGAAGAACAUCUCUCCCAUUUACCUGCUUCCUCCCUCUCUGUUUUCAGUCUUGGACCAGCUUUGGCUAUUUCUGGGUCCCCUGGGCCAGAAGUAGGAACUAUCACAUGCCCUGGAGCAGGAACAAACAACAAAAAAUAAUCUGCCAGCUUCCCUAAGCCAGGAACUUAGGGAAGGCACAGACAUAAGGGGUCCAAGGACUUUGAAUGCCUUUCACCCUUGCAUAGAUCUGUGUGGGCCCAUUUCAACAGCAUAGGCUCUCAUUAGCACACUACGACAGGGUAUAUACCUGAAGCCUAUUUUCAACUGUAUCAGCUAUAAGUAGAGGGGCAGAUUUCUGAUAUUUGACAAAGUUCUGCCAAUUAAGCAGGGUCCUCACCUACCCACAUCAGUGACCUGAGGGUUGGUGGCUCCACCCAUGCCACCUAGCACCCAAUUCAGGAGUCCAAGAGUAAGUGGUGAAUCCCAGUCCUUACAACCAACAGCAUUGGGUGACCAUGGUCUGGCUGCAAAACCCACCCACCUAUGUGCUCUAGGGAACAGGGACAUGCUUUCCUCCCAGACACUCAGGGGCAGUCAUCCCCCCCACAGUAGCCAGACACCUGUACCUACACCAAUCAACACUGUCUACGUAGGACUGUAGCUAAGAGCCUACACCACACACUUGGUGACCGACUACCUGGACACCUGAGCUGAAUCCAUACAAGAAUGUAAAAGGGCUCCUAGGCUCACAUACCUAGUAACAGCUCUGAUCACCUGGUGACAGGACGUAAGAGCUUCAAAAGGUGCCAAUAAUCAAACUAGCUUACCCAAGCAGCCUAUUUGGGCAUAUCAAAAUAAAACAAGAAGCUAGGACACAGUACACCAAAAAAAAAAAAAAAAACCCAGUGCCAUCAAGUAGAUUCCGACUCAGCAAGCAAACAUAAAAUAAAUGAAUAUAAUAACUCACUAAUGGCUCAGAGACAAGUGUAAAUAUCAAAUAACAUAAAGAGGCACACCAUGAUGGAUUCAGGAAGCUCCCAAAACAACAAAUCAAGAAAUCUUCCAAAUGAAGAGAAAUUCCAGGAAUUGCCGGAGGUAGAAUUUAAAAGAUUAAGAGACCGAGCUCUUCAAGAGAUCCAGGAGGAGAUCAGGCAAAACGAAGAACAAGCCAAGGAACACACAGAUAAAACAAAAGAGGAACUUAAGAAGGUUAUACAAGAGUAUAAUGACAAAUGUAACAGGCUGCAAGAAUCCAUAGAAAGAUAGCAAGCAAAUCCAAAAGAGUAACAAUAAAAUUUCAGAAUUAGACAACUCAAUAGAAAACAAGAGGAGCAGAAUUGAGGCAUUGGAAGUCAGAAUUAGUGAGACUGAAGAUAAAGCAAUUGACGCCAAGUUAUUUGAGGAAAAAUCAGAUAAAAUAAUUUUUUAAAAUUGAAGAAACUCUAAGAAUUAUGCAGGACUCUAUCAAGAGUGAUUGGAACACCAGAAUCGGGGUGGGGGUUGGAGGAUAACAGAAAACACAGUGAGAAUUGUUCAAGACUUCUUGGCUAAAAACUUCACUGAUCUUGUGAAAGAUAAGAAGAUAUGUAUCCAAGAUGCUUACUGAACCCCACACAAGGUAGAUGCCAAGAUAAAGUCACCAGGACAUAUUAUAAUCUUGCUUGUCAAAACCAAAUAUAAAGAGAGAAUUUUAAGAGUAGCUAGGGAUAAACAAAAAGUCACCUAUAAAGAAGGGUCAGUAAGACUAAGCUUGGACUACUCAGCAGAAACCAUGCAGGCAAGAAGGACAUAUACAAAGCCCUGAAGGAAAAAAAAAAAUUGCCUGCCAAGAAUUAUAUAUCCAGCAAAACUGUCUCUCAAAUAUGAUGGUGAAAUUAGGA